rnacentral:rRNA from 1 species
GACGAACGCUGGCGGCGUGCCUAAUACAUGCAAGUCGAACGCAGUUGCGAACGGGUGAGUAACGCGUAGGUAACUGCCAGGUAGCGGGGGAUAACUAUUGGAAACGAUAGCUAAUACCGCAUACUACCAGAUGGCCCUGCGUUGUAUUAGGUAGUUGGUGAGGUAACGGCCCACCAAAGCAACGAGACAUAGCCGAGGUGAGAGGGGGGUUGUCAAAACUGGGGCUGAGACACGGCCCAAACUGCUAAGGGAGGCAGCAGGAGGGAAUCUUUGGCAAUUGGGGGAACGCUUACCGAGGAAGUCCGGGUGAGGGAAGGAGGUUUUCGGGUUGUAAAGGUCCGUUUGGAAGGAAGCGGUACUGAACCAGAAAGGGACGGCUAACUACGUGCCAGCAGCCGCGGUAAUUC